CACUCCAGCCUGGUGACAGAGCAAGGCUCUGUCUAAAAAAAAACCCAAAACAUCCUAUCCCUUCCCCCACAGGACUGGAUUCAGGAUCCAGGCCUGAUCAGUAGAAUGACUCAUCCCUGGCAAUAGUGAUUGGUCCAGAGAUGGGCAUAUGACCCAAGAUGAACCAAUCAGAGCCCUUCCCUGGCUUUUACAUAUUGAUGCUGGGUGAGCGAAGCGCUCAGAUUUUUCUGGGAUUGCUAAAUUGGGCUGAUGUAAACCCUGAAUCGGUGUGGUUAUGUCCCCCACUUCCAUUCCCACCCCCGCUCAGUAUGGAGCAGUCCCGGCCGUAUGAGAAGGAAGGAGGCUGAGACAGGGACAAGCAGUGGUGGUGACACCUCUGGGUUCUUUGCGUUUCUGGGCCAGUUCUCCCUCUGGACUUUCCAGUUUCAUGAGCCGAUAAAUGUUCUUUUUUUCUUAAGUUAGUUUGAGUUGAUUUCUGUCACUGCAACUGAUGGGAUCCAUUUCAUGCCAAUUCUGUUUCUUCGCCUUAUCUAACUAGAAAUAGCACAGGCUUCUCUCUGUCUCAGAGGCUCAGUUCUCACGAGAAAGGAAAGGAAGUGUACACGUGCUCUGUCAUAAAGUCCCCAGAGCUGGGUACUUUCCUCUUACCAACACCACUGCCUCCUGGGAGGUGCCUCCUGACUGUUUUUCAGGGUAGGAUGGUAGCAGGUCAGAAGCUGAGGGGCAGAGACUUAUUGAGGUGGGAUCUGUGGUUCAGGACGCCCCCCAAUUCCCUCUCAAAGUGCGAUGGCCUUGCUCUGGGACAGAAUGAAGCAGAGACUGGGCGGGGGACAAGGGGCGAGGAAAGGGAAUCCCAUUAAUGUUUCCAGUCCUAAAUCAAUUUAAUGGGAACCUCCGAUGACUCUGAUUUGAUUUUUCAUUUUCAGUAUUAACAAUUAUCUGCCUGAUAUUACCGGCAGCUCAAGCUUGAAAUGGGACGACACGGCAGAGAGGGAAUAGGACCAGAUUACACCAAUUAUUGACUAUUUUGCUAAUUAGACAGCCAAUGCAUCGCUCUCAUUUACAGCAAGGGAAACAAAUGCUUAGCACUGUCAUUGUUAUUCUUCCUUGUCAAGCAGCAUUGUCACCCAAGCUGUUCUUGGAUUUUACAUCCCAAGGAGAACUUCCGUUUCAGGAUCCUUCAUCCCCAGAAUACUGCGUUGUUUAGAAUCAGAGAACCCCUGACGUCUACCCUUAGGUCUUCUUGCUUCUGUCUGAGGAGACGGAAUGCAGAUGUCUCCAGUGAGCUCUGCCUCAUGGGAUGAUACCGUGCCAGGAUGCAGGGUGUGUGGUGACAAACUUCAGGUACCCCAAACCAAAGACCAGGUGGCAUAGAGGAGAAUCUGGAAGGAAUAAGGCUGGGGGCUGUUCAGGGUCAGAAACCUUCCUUCUCUUUCACAGAUGGGGAAACUGAGGCUCAGAGAGGGAUACAACUUGGUUAAGGUGCCACAGAUGGUUGUGACCGACCUAUGCCUGAACCCCAGCUCUCCUGACCCCUAAGCUGACAGUUUUUCUACCCACUGUGAGUGGCCGAUGUGACCUCAAGGUUGUUUAAAUCUUCCCUGCAACUGACCAUGUUGCCUGCUGGAUCAGCUUAUGUUGGCGGCAGGGCCAUCCCUGGUCACAGGAGGGAGAGAAUGAUGACAAUGGAAACAAUACUUGCUAGCCCUGUGGCAGGCUUAGUAUGCACCAUCCUGCCUCAUCGAAUCCUCCCAAUGACUGCCAGAAUGGAAGCUCCCGGUGGGCAAGGACUUUAUCUUGUUCACUUGAAGCUGAAGCCUCAGCAUGUACAAUCCCGUGCUGGGUCGCUUAUUCAUCAGCAGGGAGGAACACCGGUCCUCUUUGGAAAAGACAAACUAUCUACCCUCCUGGAACUGCAGCGCAGUCUCACUGAGGGCCUGCUUCCAUUCCAGUCAAAGGGCGACAAAAAUUAAAAACGCGAACCACCGUCAGCCUCGGAGAAGGAGAGAGUGUCUGGUUUCCCCAACCUGGCGUUUCUGCAUCCUGAGAAACUCACUGCCUGUGGAAGCUCCAGGCCCUCCCCACAGGUUCUGCUGGAAGGAGCGUCCAGCCUCUGGCUUUGCAGCUGAAGCUCAGAGCUGCCCGUGGGGGACCAGAAGGUAAGAACAGACCUGGGCUCUAACUUCCACAGCACCUCCUGCUGGCUGGGGAACGGGGACAGAUCAUGUGACUCUAUGAGCCUCAGUUUCCUCAUCUGUCCAAUGGGUAUGCUAAGCCUCUCAAGCCUGCCACAGCCUUGCAGAGGGGGUAGGAGAGCAGGAUUUCCCAUCUCAGGUCUCAGAGACAAAUGUGGCUGCCAAACACGGCCUGACUCAGUGCAGGCAGCCCUGGGCCCCGUGGGGCAGGCCCUGUGAGGGAGGGCGGGUGUAGGGGCACCCAGCUGCCUAUGUCCUCUGGGAGGGAGGCUCCUGGUGCCAGGAAAAAGCAUGGACUCCAAGUCUAAUUGGCUUUCUCUGCCCAGCUGUGGGACCUUGGGCAAGCCACACAAUUCUCGGAGCCCUUGUUUCUGCAGGGCUCUUGCUAAGUCACCAGCCUGUUUUCUGCUGUCCGAGGUGAGGGACCACCCCCAAUAUCCCUUUUUGGAUCAAUUUCUGGAACAUUCCAGGUCUUUCCAGCCUUUUCCAGGCCCGUAGCCACUGCUCCUGCUGUGUGCUAACAGCCUAAGUGGGAGUAGGGGGUGGGCCCUUCUGGAUCUAAAGGAGCUGUCUUCAGGGAAGGAUGCGAUGUCAGGGGUACAGGCUUCUCACUCUCUUGUCCAGUUUCCCAGGAGCCAGAGGCCAGAGCCCCAGACCAAGAGGCCUCGACUCCUCAGCCUCUUCUCCCCUGCUGCCUGGGCCUCCUCCUCCCCAGUCCUCUUGGCCAAUUACUCUUUAUCAGCUCCACCAUUCUUCUCUUCCAAGUGGCAGCAACCAGAACUGAAGUCUAGCUGUACAUUAAUCACACCAACAGUAACCGUAAUGCAGUCGGUUUGCCCUGAACCCGCAGUCCUGUCUGCUCGGGGCUUACCUGUGUCGCUUCACCCAUUGGGUGCAUCACCGGCUCACCGAUGCCCCUCACUGUCUCGAAUGCCAGCUCAGGCCCGUGUAGAGAGCCUGGGCCCCAGUGUCACACAGACCUGGGCUCAGAUGCGAGUUCCACCACCUGCCACGGUGGCCCUGGCUUUGACCUCCCCACGCCAGGCCUCAGUUUCUUCAUCGGUCAAGACUGAAGCAUGGUGAUGGCCUCCUGCUGGGUGUUACUUCUAGGCUCAGCAGGGCGUAUGACUCACACAUCUAGGAGAGUGCAGGGCAUGUGACCCAUCUGCCCACUACAGAGCUCAGCUGUGCGUCCUCGCUCCUGCGUCCUGACUCCUGGGUUCAAGGAGGCAAAAUGCAAAACACAGUUGACAAUGAAGUGAUAAUGCAGAUCGGUGUGGUGGACACACAAGGCCGUUCAAACUCUCCCCUAUCCCCAAGGCGCUCACGGCCAGGCAUGGGAGAUAGGUAACAGCACCUUUAAUAAAAUUACGGUCACAACAUCUUUAAUAAAUACUAAGAAUAAUCUAUUGAAUAUUUAUUACCGGCUAGGAACUUUAAAGAACUUUAUAUGGAUUUUAUUUUAAUUCUCACAAACCCUGAGAAGAAAGAUGUUAUUAUCCUUAAGUUACCGGUAGGAACUGAGGCUCAGAGAGGUAAGGUCUCUUGCCCAGGUUCACACAGCAGAGCACAGAGCAGAUGGAACUGAGCUUUGAGCCCAGGUCUGCCUGAUAUGGAAGGCCAUGCUCUUACUUUAUCUGCUCUAUCCCUCUGUGCACAAGUCCGUGAUCUUCCAAAUGCCAUUUCUGUGCCAAACCAGGAGCUGUUUUUGCAUUAAUACCCAUCCUGAUUACUGCAGUUUUGGUUGCAAGUGUCAGGAAAUCCAAUUUAAAGUACUUAAAUAAUAAAGAGAAUUCACUGACUCACGUAACUGAAAAAGAGGUAGUUCCUGCUUCAGGCAAGGAUUGAUCCAGCCGCUAAUGCAUUGACUGGUAUGAAUAGGACCAGUGAGUUUUCUUUUUCUCCGUUCCUUAGCUCUACUUCCACAGUGUCAGCAUCACUCACAGCAGGCAUGCCCUCCUGCCUCCAAGAGAGUCACCAGCAGCUUCCUCCUUCACAGCUGUGAGUCAAUGAGAGGGUCCACUCCACCCAAUAGCUCAAAUCCCAGUUUCAGGAUUUGACCUGUGGCUGAUCAGCCUAGGGACAUAGGUCCAUUCCUGAGCCCAUCGCUGUGGCUGGAGAGGUGGGAGACACUGAUUGGUCUGAGCCAGUCAAGUCCCCUCAAAGCCAAAUCGUGUGGGGAAGAAAUUUAGGACAAAGGCAGGAAGA